UUGUAAUGGAAUGCCUACAACGUUAAUGCACUAGAUCCCACUAGAACUCUACAGUUAAAUAUGUUUGGGCUAGAGUAAUACUAGGAUGGGUGAUCUCCAAGGAAGUCCUAGUGUUUUACAUG
rnacentral:rRNA from 1 species